CAGUUAAAAGUAUUUGGGAUUAAAUAAGGGCUUCUAACUAUAUUUUUAUGUCUCUAACUAGUCAGGCCUAGGGCCACAUUAUGGCUGUAAAGCUACAUUGUGAGCAGUGGGAAAACCAUAUGAAGCCAUGAUGCAGUGGAAAGGACAGAAGUCUGACAACACUUGCAUGGGGCUAACAACUCCUUCCCAAUGACUGGUCAAAUGACUUGGCACACACAGGGCUUCAUGACGUAAGAAGAUUAGUAAGAAGAUAAGAAUUCAGGAACCUCCAGACCUGUUCUGAAACACUCAUCCUUGUUGCUGUAGUCAAUAUCAUCCUAUUACUAUGAACAGUCUGCUUAAGAGACAGCCAUGAAAUUAAAAUAGCUCAUGCCUGGAACCAAGACAGGGUGAGAAUCUGACCUAGAAGGAAAUACACUCUUGUGUACAAAAUCAACUCUGAGGCUGCCAAACCUAGAGUCAGAGAAAAGAGAAAAUCUGAAAUAUGAUACCAAUGCACUUGCUGAAAUUGCUGGUGAGACAACAACUACUGACUCAACAUGCAG
rnacentral:lncRNA from 1 species